AUGUCCCAGUCCCUCCCAGUGCUCCCAGUGCUCCCAGUGCCCCCAGUCCCAGUCCAUCCCAGUCUCCCCCAGUCCCUCCCAGUGCUCCCAGUGCCCCCAGUCCCAGUAUGUCCCAGUCUCCCCCAGUGCCCCCCAGUCCCCCCCAGUGCUCCCAGUGCCCCCAGUCCCAGUAUGUCCCAGUCUCCCCCAGUAUCUCCCAGUGCUCCCAGUUUCCCCAUCCCUACCAGUGCUCCCAGUGCCCCCAGUCCAAAUAUCCCAGUCCCUCCCAGUGCUCCCAGUGACCCCCAGUCACUCCCAGUGCUCCCAGUGCCCCCAGUCCCAAUAUCCCAGUCCCUCCCAGUGCUCCCAGUGACCCCCAGUCACUCCCAGUGCUCCCACUGCCCCCAGUCCCAGUAUGCCCCAGUGCUCCCAGUGCCCCCCAGUCCCUCCCAGUCCCUCCCAGUGCUCCCAGUGCUCCCAGUGCCCCCAGUCCCAGUAUGUCCCAGUCUCUCCCAGUACCCCCCAGUCCCUCCCAGUGCUCCCAGUGCUCCCAGUCCCAGUCCCUCCCAGUCCCUCCCAGUGCUCCCAGUGCCCCCAGUCCCAGUAUGUCCCAGUCUCCCCCAGUGCCCCCCAGUCCCUCCCAGUGCUCCCAGUGCCCCCAGUCCCAGUAUGUCCCAGUCCCUCCCAGUGCCCCCCAGUCCCUCCCAGUACCUCCCAGUACCCACCAGUGCUCCCAGUGCCCCCAGUCCCAGUAUGUCCCAGUCUCUCCCAGUGCUCCCAGUCCCUCCCAGUACCUCCCAGUGCUCCCAGUGCCCCCCAGUCCCUCCCAGUGCUCCCAGUGCCCCCAGUCCCAGUAUGUCCCAGUCCCUCCCAGUACCUCCCAGUGCUCCCAGUGCCCCCAGUCGCAGUAUGUCCCAGUCUCCCCCAGUGCUCCCAGUCCCUCCCAGUACCUCCCAGUACCCACCAGUGCUCCCAGUGCCCCCAGUCCCAGUAUGUCCCAGUCUCUCCCAGUACCCCCAGUCCCUCCCAGUGCUCCCAGUGCUCCCAGUCCCAGUCCCUCCCAGACCCUCCCAGUGCUCCCAGUGCCCCCAGUCCCAGUAUGUCCCAGUCUCCCCCAGUGCCCCCCAGUCCCUCCCAGUGCUCCCAGUGCCCCCAGUCCCAGUAUGUCCCAGUCCCUCCCAGUGCCCCCCAGUCCCUCCCAGUACCUCCCAGUACCCACCAGUGCUCCCAGUGCCCCCAGUCCCAGUAUGUCCCAGUCUCUCCCAGUGCUCCCAGUCCCUCCCAGUACCUCCCAGUGCUCCCAGUGCCCCCCAGUCCCUCCCAGUGCUCCCAGUGCCCCCAGUCCCAGUAUGUCCCAGUCCCUCCCAGUACCUCCCAGUGCUCCCAGUGCCCCAGUCGCAGUAUGUCCCAGUCUCCCCCAGUGCUCCCAGUCCCUCCCAGUACCUCCCAGUCCCCCCAGCCCCCCCCCUCACCUUUCAGCUCCGCGUCCCCCCCUUUGCUGUGUCACACAGCGCCGCUGUCCCCGCGGUGCCGCCCCCCCCCCUCCCAGUGCCCCCCAGUUCUCCCAGUGCCCUCCCAGUGCCCUCCCAGUACCCCCCCCCCCUCCCCCCUCACAUCCACACAAAGGUCCCAUUGAAGCGAAGGGGACAAAGUCCCCCCCGCGGUGGCACUGCCGGAACUGCGGGGCCUCCCGGAGGGGGGGGGGGAGGGAGAGGGGGGGACCCACGGAUGGAGGGGGUCACGAGUGGGGAACCACGGGGGGGAGAAAAGGGGGGUGACCCACGGGUGGAGGGGGAGGGGGGGUCACGAGUGGGGACCCAGGGGGGGGAGAAAAGGGGGAUUCCCACGGAUGGGGGUGGAGACACGAGUGGGGAACCACGGAGGGGAGAAAAGGGGGGGACCCACGGAUGGAGGGGGAGGGGGGGCACGAGUGGGGAACCACGGGGGGGAGAAACGGGGGGGGAAGGGGGGGGACCCACGGAGGGAUCACGAGUGGGGACCCACGGAGGGGAAAAAGUGGGGGAAAUGGGGGACCCAUAGAGGGAGGGGAAGGAGGGUCACGAGUGGGGACCCACGGAGGGGAGAAAAGGGGGGAAGGAGGGGGACCCACGGAUGGAGGGGAAGGAGGGUCACGAGUGGGGACCCACGGAGGGGAGAAAGGCGGGGGAGAUUGGGAAUCCCACGGAUGGAGGGGGAGGUGGGGUCACGAGUGGGGACCCACGGAGGGGAAAAAGGGGGGGACCCAUCAAGGGAGGGCGUGGGGGGUCACGAGUGGGGACCCACAGAGGGGAGAAAAGGGGGGGACCCAUCAAGGGAGGGCGUGGGGGUCACGAGUGGGGACCCACAGAGGGAGGGAAUGAGGGCAGACAAUGGGGGCAAUGGGGGCAAUGGCAAUGGGGGUCCCACAGUGGGGGGGGGGGGGGGGAAGGGGGGAAUGGACAGGGGGAGACAUGGGGGGAAACACGAGUGGGGACCCACGGAGGGAGGGGGGGCAAUGGGGGGCCCACAGUGGGGGGGGGGAAGGGGGGAAUAGAGGGGGGGGAGAAAUGGGGGGAAACACGAGUGGGGACCCACAGAGGGAGGGGGGGAAAUGUGGGGCCCCAAGUGGGGGAGGGGGAAAGGGGGGAAUGGAGUGGGGGAGAACUGGGGGGAAACACGUGUGGGGACCCACGGAGGGAGGGGGGGCAAUGGGGGUCCCACAGUGG
rnacentral:lncRNA from 7 species